rnacentral:rRNA from 1 species
AUUGAACGCUGGCGGCAGGCCUAACACAUGCAAGUCGAACGAGUGGCGGACGGGUGAGUAAUGUCUGGGAAACUGCCUGAUGGCGGGGGAUAACUACUGGAAACGGUAGCUAAUACCGCAUACCAUCAGAUGUGCCCAGCUGGGAUUAGCUAGUUGGUGGGGUAACGGCUCACCAAGGCGACGCUCCCUAGCUGGUCGGAGAGGAUGACCAGCCACCAUGGAACUGAGAAACGGUCCAGACUCCUACGGGAGGCAGCAGUGGGGAAUAUUGCACAAUGGGCUGAAGCCUGAUGCAGCCAUGCCGCGUGUAUGAAGAAGGCCUUCGGGUUGUAAAGUACUUUCAGCGUGGAGGCGUUACCCGCAGAAGAAGCACCGGCUAACUCCGUGCCAGCCGCCGCGGUAAUUC